CUCCAUUCCCUCCCUUUCACAGCCUCUACCUUACCACCAAGAGAGUGGAGGACAUCACCCUGAGGCUCGUCUCCCUGCGCCAGGCCUUCACUACCCUGCUUGGUUCCACCCUGAGCAGGAACCAUCUGUUUGUGGCGGGAAAGGUCCUCCUGGGUGCUUUGGUUCAGGCCAACCACAUGGACGAGGCCAAAUUCAUUCGUACCUAUAACGACUUUGUGGACUACCUGAGUGACCCCUCCAAGCGGAAUGACAUUGAGAGGGAGCUGGCUGAGGCAAAGAUCCAUCAUGUGAACAUGAUAGAUGUCCUCUUUGAGCUGGUGCUGUUUGGGUUGAUGACAGCUCAGAAGUCCCUGAUGGUGCACCCUGGUGGGUUCGUGGAGCGUCUGUAGGCUCUCCUGUACUCCUUCCUGCCCACUGCUGCCAACAUGGAGCCAGAGGCUGACAGAUACCUGCUGCUGCUCAAUGAUUAUUGUGACACUUUGCCACCCAACAGGGAUCUAGACACCAAUGCACUACAUUACUUUGCACUGAAUUUGACAUUUUUAAAAUAAAAUAAGUUGUAGUUCAAAAAC